rnacentral:rRNA from 1 species
UACGUAGGGGGGCAAGCGUUGUCCGGAAUCAUUGGGCGUAAAGAGCGCGUAGGCGGCCCGACAAGUCCGCUGUGAAAGUCAGGGGCUCAACCCUUGAAUGCCGGUGGAUACUGUCGGGCUAGAGUCCGGAAGAGGCGAGUGGAAUUCCUGGUGUAGCGGUGAAAUGCGCAGAUAUCAGGAGGAACACCGGUGGCGAAGGCGGGUCUCUGGGCCGAAAAUUGACGCUGGAGGAGCGAAAAGCGUGGGGAGCAAACAGG